CAAAUUAGAGCUUGUAAAGUAUUUCAUUUACAUUGAAAAGAUAUUAAAUUGAAUUUAAUUAAUUUGA
rnacentral:tRNA from 1 species